ACCAAAUUCUGAAUGGAAUUCAAAGAGGCCUUUUCAUUGUUCUGUGAUUCACGAAGGAAGCACCAAAAAAGUCACAUUGGUAAAAGAGGCCUCUUCUCAUAUCACAAUGACACUGACACCACCAAGUGCCUACGACAUUUUCAACAACAACCAGGCAAAGGUGGAGUGUACAAUUACUGGACAGGACGAGAUCACUUGGCAAAUUGAUGGACAAACUGUGACCAACAACAUCUCUGUAAGACCAAACUCCGGAAACAAAACCAGCACGUUGACUCGUACUCGCACUGAGUGGCUGAGAUUCAACAAGGUGCGCUGUUCUGCCAAUAGUGUUACUCAAGAUCUGACUAUCCACAAAUCAGAUACGAUUGAGCCAAAAGUAACUGUCUACAUCCUCCCAGAGGAAGACAUCAGCAAAGGAGGCUCAGCUGAUGUCACGAUAGUGUGUCUGGUGUCUAGUUCUGUGCAGCAGGACUACUUCAUCGGCUGGUUAGAAUAUAACGGACUCAACGCCAGCAUCUAUAAUGAUGGCAUCAACUUCCUCCCUCAGAGUACCAAAAUCGGCUUCUCAGUUACAAGUAUUUACACCACCACCAAGGAAAAGUGGAACAAGAACAACAUGUUCUCCUGCAACGUCUGGGCUGCUGGCAGCAAAAGGUUGACAUCCAGAACCGUGUCUAAGGGCCUCAGUAACUCGACUGAAUUUUUAAAUCUGCGUCUUGCUACGAGCUGCACAGAUGAUGGCAUUGAGGAGGAUGAGUACAGCAGCCUGUGGUCCACAACCUCCUCCUUCAUAUUCCUCUUCAUAUCCUCUCUCCUUUAUAGCAUGAUAUUCAGCCUGGUCAAGAUGAAGAAACCAUAAGAUGAGAUGGAUGCAAAGCAUGGACGACAGGUCUUCAUUUGUUUUCUGACUUUUAUAUCUAGUUUAAAAAACAUUUACAUGAGUGCUAAAUUAAAUGAUUGUCAUAUAUAUUGAUUAACUAAGUCACUGACAAUGGAUUUCUCUGUAACCUAUAGAAAAAUGAUGGUACAAAUAUAAUUCCUAGUCAUUUAGAUGAAUAGAUUUUCAUUUGCUACUGUAGUUGCAUUAAGAAUAGAACAGCUAUUGAUUACUUUUCUUGAAGACUUUUAGUGUCAAUAAAAUGUGUUGGUAAAGCAUUAUUAACUUUCAUUGACACAUAAAUAUCAAAUUGCACUGUAGUUGAGAUAAAUAUAUUCUGUAUUAUGCAUUUUCUUUGUUUGAAUAUAUAUCUAAACUUUU